AAAUUUUCUAAUUUUUAUUAUUAUAAUUAUUAUUUUUUUUUUACAAAUUUUAUAAUAUUUUAGAAAUGUUACAGUUGUGAAAGUAAAAUCAUAAGCCUAGUAACGAAAUUAAAUGUAACCCCCGUCCAUUUUAAUCUUGGCCAAACUAUUUCUUUAAGGUCUGGAGUGUUAUGAUUACCGGGGAUUCGUGGUCCAUUCAGCGGGUUGGACAGUGCCAUGCCAAUCUCAGUCAUGCCGUAGCGCUCCAGCAGUACAUGAUCCGUGACCUCUCUCCAACGCUUCAGAACGGGCUGGGGGAGAGCGGCCGAACCCGACACCAUCAACCUGCGAUGAGAAGUAACGUAAACAAGCUUUCAAGACAACGUACACAGAGUACUGUACUGUGACACAUCUUCAGAUGGGUUUACUCUCUUUCAGGAACAAAAGCUUUAUAGCGUAUUAGUGUCCAGUGUAAUGUAGAAAUUACAGCAUAGUGGUGCUUGAAAGUUAGUGAACCCUUUAGAAUUUCCUAUACAUCUGCAUAAAUAUGACCUAAAACAUAAUCAGAUUUUCACACAAGCCCUAAAGUAGACAAAGAGAACCUAAUUAAACAAAUGAGACAAAAAUAUUAUACUUUGUCAUUUAUUUAUUGAGGAAAAUGAGCCAAUAUUACAUAUCUGUGAGUGGCAAAAGUAUGUGAACCUCUAAGAUUAGCAGUUAGUUUGAAGGGGAAAUUAGAGUCAGGUGUUUUCAAUCAAUGGGAUGAUAAGCAGGUGUGAGUGAGCACCCUAUUCUUUUUUAUUAAAUAACAGGGAUAUAUCAAAAUCUGAUCUUCACAGCAAUGUCUGAGAUUUCUGAGGACCUCAGAAAAAGAGUUUGGACUCCACCAAUCCACAGUCCGACAGAUUGUAUACAAAAGGAGGAAAUUUAAGACCACUUAAGGUUCACAUACUUUGCCACUCACAGAUAUGUAAUAUUGGAGCAUUUUCCAUUGUAUCUGACUGUAGUGAGCCAUUAAGUAAGAAAUGUAAUAAUAAUAAUAAUAAUAAUAAUAAUAAUAAUAAUCCAUCCGUCAAUCCAUUUUCUAUACCGCUUAUCCUACACAGGGUCGCGGGGAGCCUGGAGCCAAUCCCAGGGAACUCGGGCACAAGGCGGGGGACAUGCUAGUGCUAACCCGUCACAGGGCACAAUCACACACACACUACAGUCAAUUUGGAAAUGCCAAUCAGCCUACAGCACAUGUUAUUGGCCUGGGGGAAGAAAACCGGAGUACCCGGAGUAAACCCCCAAAGCAUGAGGGACAUAUGCAAACUCUGCGCACACAGGGUGGUGGCAGGAUUCGAACCCCAACAACCGCACAGAUGCGAGGCAAAUGUGUUGACCAAUAACCC
ensembl:lncRNA